ACAAGAUUAAGUUAGUCUAAGACUAAAUGUUUUCAAAACAUUAAGCGGUUUUAUAGCCAUCUUGUG
rnacentral:tRNA from 1 species